AAGUCGAACGAGCAUAUUUAACGGAGAUUCGUCGAAGCUGGAUAUGACUUAGUGGCGGACGGGUGAGUAACGCGUGAGCAACCUGGCCUCGAGUGGGGGAUAACAUCGGGAAACCGAUGCUAAUACCGCAUAACAUAUAUGGGUGGCAUCAUCUGUAUAACAAAGGAGAAAUCCGCUCGUGGAUGGGCUCGCGUCUGAUUAGAUAGUUGGUGAGGUAAAGGCUCACCAAGUCGACGAUCAGUAGCCGGACUGAGAGGUUGACCGGCCACAUUGGGACUGAGACACGGCCCAGACUCCUACGGGAGGCAGCAGUGGGGAAUAUUGGGCAAUGGGGGGCAACCCUGACCCAGCAACGCCGCGUGAAGGAAGAAGGCCUUCGGGUUGUAAACUUCUUUUAUGAGGGACGAAGGACGUGACGGUACCUCAUGAAUAAGCCACGGCUAACUACGUGCCAGCAGCCGCGGUAAUACGUAGGUGGCGAGCGUUA
rnacentral:rRNA from 1 species